rnacentral:rRNA from 1 species
CCUACGGGAGGCAGCAGUGGGGAAUUUUCCGCAAUGGGCGAAAGCCUGACGGAGCAACGCCGCGUGAGGGAUGAAGGUCUUCGGAUUGUAAACCUCUUUCAGCAGGGACGAAGCGAAAGUGACGGUACCUGAAGAAGAAGCACCGGCUAACUACGUGCCAGCAGCCGCGGUAAUACGUAGGGUGCAAGCGUUGUCCGGAUUUAUUGGGCGUAAAGAGCUCGUAGGCGGUUAGACACGUCGGAUGUGAGAACUGGGGGCUUAACUCCCAGCCUGCAUUCGAUACGGUCUGACUAGAGUGUGGUAGGGGUAACUGGAAUUCCUGGUGUAGCGGUGAAAUGCGCAGAUAUCAGGAGGAACACCGAUGGCGAAGGCAGGUUACUGGGCCACCACUGACGCUGAGGAGCGAAAGCGUGGGGAGCAAACAGGAUUAGAUACCCUGGUAGUCCACGCCGUAAACGGUGGGCGCUAGAUGUGGGGACCAUUCCAUGGUUUCUGCGUCGCAGCUAACGCAUUAAGCGCCCCGCCUGGGGAGUACGGUCGCAAGACUAAAACUCAAAGGAAUUGACGG